CUGCAAAUGAAUUUCUUCAGUCUGGCUAUAAUAAUGAUCUGAGCCAAUCCUAAUUCGGAGAUCUGAUAUGUAUGUACUCCCGAAAAUAUUCCCACUAGAAGACCGUAUCGAGGAAUUUGGGCUAAUUAAUACUUUCUCUUGGGGCGUUCCAUCGAUUUGUGAGACUGAAUGAGUGACACUAAUGAGUGUUACUCAUUAAAUUUGGUCUGUUGUUUUCCCUCCCACACUCCACAAAUCACAAUUCAAUGGAAAGGCUGUAACAUUUAUUUGUCGGUUCAGCUGGCACAGAAAUUGGAUGAAUUCCCGAGACAUGCGACCAAAGAAAACGUUCUGGUUCAGUGCAUCAUUGCUGUUGCAUUAUAACAAGCCACAUGCGUCGAGACUCGGAAGUCUUCGGAGGUGAAAAUGGAGUCGAGGCAGAGGCAGGAGAAGAGGCAAAUAUGCUUGCCACACAUAUGGAUCGUUAUCAUUGCUGUGACAAAAUCGUAUGGGAUCUUAGGGAA